rnacentral:rRNA from 1 species
GAUGAACGCUGGCGGCGUGCUUAACACAUGCAAGUCGAACGGAGCUUAGAAGGAAGCUUGCUUUCAUUUAAGCUUAGUGGCGGACGGGUGAGUAACGCGUGAGUAACCUGCCCUUGAGAGGGGAAUAACAUCGAGAAAUCGGUGCUAAUACCGCAUGAUGUCGGAAGACCGCAUGAUCUACCGACCAAAGAUUUAUCGCUCAAGGAUGGACUCGCGUCCGAUUAGCUAGUUGGUGAGGUAACGGCCCACCAAGGCAACGAUCGGUAGCCGAACUGAGAGGUUGAUCGGCCACAUUGGGACUGAGACACGGCCCAGACUCC